GAUGAACGCUGGCGGCGUGCCUAAUACAUGCAAGUCGAGCGAACAGACGAGGAGCUUGCUCCUCUGACGUUAGCGGCGGACGGGUGAGUAACACGUGGAUCACCUACCUAUAAGACUGGGAUAACUUCGGGAAACCGGAGCUAAUACCGGAUAAUAUAUUGAACCGCAUGGUUCAAUAGUGAAAGACGGUUUUGCUGUCACUUAUAGAUGGAUCCGCGCCGCAUUAGCUAGUUGGUAAGGUAACGGCUUACCAAGGCGACGAUGCGUAGCCGACCUGAGAGGGUGAUCGGCCACACUGGAACUGAGACACGGUCCAGACUCCUACGGGAGGCAGCAGUAGGGAAUCUUCCGCAAUGGGCGAAAGCCUGACGGAGCAACGCCGCGUGAGUGAUGAAGGUCUUCGGAUCGUAAAACUCUGUUAUUAGGGAAGAACAACUGUGUAAGUAACUAUGCACGUCUUGACGGUACCUAAUCAGAAAGCCACGGCUAACUACGUG
rnacentral:rRNA from 1 species